UACAGAGGGUGCGAGCGUUAAUCGGAAUUACUAGGCGUAAAGCGUGCGUAGACGGUUAUUUAAGUCGGAUGUGAAAGCCCCGGGCUCAACCUGGGAAUUGCAUUCGAGACUGAAUAGCUAGGGUGCGGUAGAGGGAAGCGGAAUUUCCGGUGUAGCGGUGAAAUGCGUAGAUAUCGGAAGGAACAUCAGUGGCGAAAGCGGCUUCCUGGACCAGCACCGACGUUCAGGCACGAAAGCGUGGGGAGCAAACAGG
rnacentral:rRNA from 1 species